rnacentral:lncRNA from 1 species
GGAAAAGAUCAGUGUGAUCUCCUGGCUCCUCUCUGGCAGCCCAGUAUUUGUGAAGGGUUGUUGAACCUGGAAUAGAGAGCUUGUUUCCUAUUCUGCUGUUGGACUUGCUGGGUAAUUCUGGACACAGCAAUUAACCAGCCUUAGUCCCACAAAGCUGGAUAUGGUACCAUUCCACCUCACACUAAUGCUCAUAGAUAAAGUAUCUGCAAUCUCUGAAUUUUUAAAAAAAGCAGUGUCUGGAAGAAAAGCCUUGGAGAGAAUUAUCCACAAUUUCCUAACAGGAGAAGGUGUUGUGAUUUGCUGUGACUUUUGAGAGUGACCAAGAUAUUGUGAUAGAAGAUAAUAAAAUAUUCUAAUAAAAUAUUAG